rnacentral:sRNA from 1 species
UGCAACAAAAAAAUGGUCACUUUUAUUGGA